rnacentral:rRNA from 1 species
GAACGGUAGCACAGAGAGCUUGCUCUUGGGUGACGAGUGGCGGACGGGUGAGUAAUGUCUGGGAAACUGCCCGAUGGAGGGGGAUAACUACUGGAAACGGUAGCUAAUACCGCAUAACGUCUUCGGACCAAAGUGGGGGACCUUCGGGCCUCACACCAUCGGAUGUGCCCAGAUGGGAUUAGCUAGUAGGUGGGGUAACGGCUCACCUAGGCGACGAUCCCUAGCUGGUCUGAGAGGAUGACCAGCCACACUGGAACUGAGACACGGUCCAGACUCCUACGGGAGGCAGCAGUGGGGAAUAUUGCACAAUGGGCGCAAGCCUGAUGCAGCCAUGCCGCGUGUAUGAAGAAGGCCUUCGGGUUGUAAAGUACUUUCAGUGGGGAGGAAGGCGAUGGAGUUAGUAGCUUCGUCGAUUGACGUUACCCGCAGAAGAAGCACCGGCUAACUCCGUG